UUUGAGAUGAGACAACAGUGAGAGGUUUAAUUUCGAGAUGAGACAACAGUGAGAGGUUUAAUUUCGAGAUGAGACAACAGUGAGAGGUUUAAUUUCGAGAUGAGACAACAGUGAGAGGUUUAAUUUCGAGAUGAGACAACAGUGAGAGGUUUAAUUUUGAGAUGAGAGAACAGUGAGAGGUUUAAUUUCGAGAUGGUCAAAACAAAAAGUUUCACAUGGGCCUCAUCUCAUUAGAAUAUUAUUUCCAAAGAACCUCAAACAAUCAAAUUGAGAUGAAUUCCACAUGUAGUUCAUAUUAAC
rnacentral:lncRNA from 1 species